GGGGUGAAGGGAAAUGCCACAGACAUCCAUGGUCUUGGAUGCUCAACAGAAGUGCUUGCCUUGGUGAUCCAAAAAAGGCAGGAUCCGGCCGGGGGCAAGGUGAUUAUUCUGUCUGAUGAGGAGAAUAAGAGCCAGUUUGUGGUAUUGACAGAAGAAUGAAAGUAAAGUCUUGAAAGAUGGGAAGAUCAGGAGCAGUCUGGAGUCAUGGUAUAUGAAUGAACUAGUGAGAGUGGGCACAAAGUCUGAAGAUCUUUGUAGUGCAGCUAAUGUCUAAGGGAGAAUAUACCUACCCUAGAAGAGACAUUAAACAACCAGGCCCCCAAAAGAUGAACUCCAAUCUGCUGCCCCUAAACGCAUUCUCCACUGUCUGGAAGAUGUGCAAAGGCAACGGCACAGCGUUCUCCAUCUCAAAUCCUUCAAAGUGCUGUCAGAAUAAAAGAAUCCCCACCAAAAGCCCCAGGGAAAUCUAUCUGUCUGUAUGGUAUGGUAAUGACUGAGGUUAUUCCAGAUAGGAUUCUGGGAGAAACUCAGCUAUUGAAAUCUAAUGAAUGGAACUGAGAAUUUCUUGUUAUAAUACUGUUUGUUUGAUUGAAUAUAUCCUUGCAUAUAGGAAGACAUAAAAAUAAAU
rnacentral:lncRNA from 1 species